rnacentral:rRNA from 1 species
UACGGAGGGGGCUAGCGUUGUUCGGAAUUACUGGGCGUAAAGCGCACGUAGGCGGACCAGUUAGUUGGGGGUGAAAUCCCGGGGCUCAACCCCGGAACUGCCUCCAAAACUGCUGGUCUGGAGGUCGAGAGAGGUGAGUGGAAUUCCGAGUGUAGAGGUGAAAUUCGUAGAUAUUCGGAGGAACACCAGUGGCGAAGGCGGCCACCUGGACGGUAACUGACGCUGAGACGCGAAAGCGUGGGGAGCAAACAGG